rnacentral:rRNA from 1 species
GACGAACGCUGGCGGCGUGCUUAACACAUGCAAGUCGAACGGAAAGGCCCUGCUUUUGUGGGGUGCUCGAGUGGCGAACGGGUGAGUAACACGUGAGUAACCUGCCCUUGACUUUGGGAUAACUUCAGGAAACUGGGGCUAAUACCGGAUAGGAGCUCCUGCUGCAUGGUGGGGGUUGGAAAGUUUCGGCGGUUGGGGAUGGACUCGCGGCUUAUCAGCUUGUUGGUGGGGUAGUGGCUUACCAAGGCUUUGACGGGUAGCCGGCCUGAGGGGGUGACCGGCCAAAUGGGGAAUGAGAUACGGCCCAAACUCCUAGGGGAGGCAGCAGUGGGGAAUAUUGCAAAAGGGGGGGAAGCAUGAUGCAGCAACGCCGGUGGGGGGAUGAGGGCCUUGGGGUUGUAACCCGUUUCCCCAUGGAACGAAGCGGGGGUGAAGGUAAGGGGAAAAAAAACAACGGCUAACUAAGU